rnacentral:rRNA from 1 species
ACACGGGGGGGGCAAGCGUUGUCCGGAAUUAUUGGGCGUAAAGGGCGCGUAGGUGGGAUAGCAAGUCUGGGGUGCAAACUUAUGGCUUAACUGUAAGCUUGCCCUGGAUACUACUAUUCUUGAGUUCGGGAGAGGGAAGUGGAAUUCCUGGUGUAGCGGUGAAAUGCGUAGAUAUCAGGAAGAACACCGGUGGCGAAGGCGGCUUCCUGGCCCGAUACUGACACUGAGGCGCGAAAGUGCGGGGAGCAAACAGGAUUAGAUACCCUGGUAGUCCGCACAGUAAACGUUGGACACUAGGUGUUGGUCUCUAUGAGAUCAGCGCCGCAGCUAACGCAUUAAGUGUCCCGCCUGGGGAGUACGACCGCAAGGUUGAA